rnacentral:rRNA from 1 species
GAUGAACGCUGGCGGCGUACCUAAUACAUGCAAGUCGAGCGAACAGACGAGGAGCUUGCUCCUCUGACGUUAGCGGCGGACGGGUGAGUAACACGUGGAUAACCUACCUAUAAGACUGGGAUAACUUCGGGAAACCGGAGCUAAUACCGGAUAAUAUAUUGAACCGCAUGGUUCAAUAGUGAAAGACGGUUUUGCUGUCACUUAUAGAUGGAUCCGCGCCGCAUUAGCUAGUUGGUAAGGUAACGGCUUACCAAGGCGACGAUGCGUAGCCGACCUGAGAGGGUGAUAGGCCACACUGGAACUGAGACACGGUCCAGACUCCUACGGGAGGCAGCAGUAGGGAAUCUUCCGCAAUGGGCGAAAGCCUGACGGAGCAACGCCGCGUGAGUGAUGAAGGUCUUCGGAUCGUAAAACUCUGUUAUUAGGGAAGAACAAAUGUGUAAGUAACUAUGCACGUCUUGACGGUACCUAAUCAGAAAGCCACGGCUAACUACGUG